GGACGAACGCUGGCGGCGUGCCUAAAACAUGCAAGUCGAACGGUGUAGCAAUACACAGUGGCGAACGGCGGAGUAAUACAUGAACAACGUGCCCGGAAGACUGGGAUAGUCAGGGGAAACCCUGGGUAAUACCAGAUGUGGCCGUCUCUUGGCAUCUAGAGACGAUUAAAGGGUUUUUCGCUUCCGGAGCGGUUCAUGGCCUAUCAGGUAGUUGGUGAGGUAACGGCUCACCAAGCCGACGACGGGUAGCGGGUCUGAGAGGAUGAUCCGCUCGAGUGGGACUGAGACACGGCCCACACACCUACGGGUGGCAGCAGUUGGGAAUCUUGCACAAUGGGGGAAACCCUGAUGCAGCGACGCCGCGUGGAGGAUGAAGGAUCUAGGUCUGUAAACUCCUUUUUCAGGGAAAGACUUAAGGACGGUACCCUGAGAAUAAGGACCGGCUAACUACGUGCCAGCAGCCGCGGUAAGACGUAGGGUCCAAGCGUUGUCCGGAUUUACUGGGCGUAAAGAGCGCGUAGGCGGCUUGUUAAGUGUGGUGUGAAAUCUCCAGGGACUCAACCCGGAAACUGCACCGCAUACUGGCUAGCUUGAGUGAUGCAGAGGUUUGUGGAAUUCCUGGUGUAACGGUGAAAUGUGUUGAUAUUAGGAGGAACACCCAUGGCGAAGGCAGCAAACUGGGCAUCAACUGACGCUGAGGCGCGAAAGCGUGGGUAGCAAACAGGAUUAGAUACCCUGGUAGUCCACGCCCUAAACGAUGGAUACUAGGCGUAAGAGGUAUCGACCCCUCUUGUGCCGCAGCUAACGCAUUAAGUAUCCCGC
rnacentral:rRNA from 1 species